GACGAACGCUGGCGGCGUGCCUAAUACAUGCAAGUAGAACGCUGAAGAGAGGAGCUUGCUCUUCUUGGAUGAGUUGCGAACGGGUGAGUAACGCGUAGGUAACCUGCCUGGUAGCGGGGGAUAACUAUUGGAAACGAUAGCUAAUACCGCAUAAAAUUGAUUAUUGCAUGAUAAUUAAUUGAAAGAUGCAACUGCAUCACUACCAGAUGGACCUGCGUUGUAUUAGCUAGUUGGUGAGGUAACGGCUCACCAAGGCGACGAUACAUGGCCGACCUGAGAGGGUGAACGGCCACCCUGGGACUGGGACACGGCCCAGACUCCUACGGGAGGCAGCAGUAGGGAAUCUUCGGCAAUGGGGGGAACCCUGACCGAGCAACGCCGCGUGAGUGAAGAAGGUUUUCGGAUCGUAAAGCUCUGUUGUAAGAGAAGAACGGGUGUGAGAGUGGAAAGUUCACACUGUGACGGUAUCUUACCAGAAAGGGACGGCUAACUACGUG
rnacentral:rRNA from 1 species